UCGAGUUGUAUGGCCGGGUGUGGUCCUUUCGGGGACUUGUACAUAUAACCUUCUUUCUAUCAAUACAUUGAAACGCAAGGCUUUUGCGUUUCCGCGAAAAAACUAUAUAUUAUCAUCAUGCUGCUGUAAAUAAUCAUUAACCCUGAUGCCUAUACAUAUCUGUUCCACUCGUGGCAAUUCUUCUUAGAAAGUUGCCUGUCACACCUUUAAGAUGUUUUUUGGUGGGUAACCACAAUUAUCCCCUCAGUGUUAUGUGUAGCUAUAUAUGAUUAUGAAAUAUUCAGAUAGUAUGGAAUAUUAUUCGAAGAGGAAGGAGAGUUAUUUGAAUAGGAAAUAUAUAAGACUAGAGUUACAUAUCGGAUCUGUAUCCUUGGAUUAUUAAUUUGGGGUUAAGUAGGUCCUCCUAUAUAAGGGACAACAUAUGUAUCAGUUAUCAAUCUAGCAAUGAGAAAUUAAUCAGUCUAGUUUCUUAUUGUUCAUCCUGCCCUAAGCUGUGUUCCUACUCCCCAAUCCCCUACACAUGCCGUUUGGCCAUCCUCAUGGCGUUAGUUACACAGUUUGUCCCUGUUAGGUUCUCUCAUUGUAAUGCCUUCUUGUUCUUACAUAUUUCUAUUGUCUAAUGCUGGUCUUAGUAGAGUCACCGAGAAAUGAAAAGGAAAUCAUCAUGAAUUGCUACCUUUCCACAGUAAUAAAUACCUCAUUGAUAUCAUCGACUUUAUUUUGUUAUCUCUGUAUCUUAAAUUUAACAGGACGUGAUCGUGAGUCCCAAAGUGUGAACUAGCUUUAUAUUUGAUACAGUAGAGGUCUUUGAGUUAGAUUAGUCUGAACAAUUUUGACGUUAAGUCAGUGAAGAACAGUUCUAUUACCAUUUUGUUAUCUCUAUUUUUGUUGAUGCUUUGUACAUGCCUGAAGAUCCAGAAUGCCAUGUGAGAACAAGCUGGGUUCUAUGGAUCUUGUACCAUGUUACCAAAUUGAUUCUGCCUGCAAAGAACAAACUCAUUGUUCCCAAAAUAAAAUGAUAUUGAAUGUUCAUAAAAUGUUUAAUUUUCUUUUCACAGAAAUAAACUUUUACAUCUUAUGCGCGAAGAAUCCCUUGCCCACUUCAGUGGUAUGAUUUGAGGUUACAUAGUGUUAUAUUACUUUUUUCCACUAGUGCACAAACUGCAUGGAUUGAGAACCAGCAAAACCUAACUCAGGAGUUUCAUUAAAAAAUCCUCACCUUUGUACCUUUGCAAUGCGACUAUUAUUCUACCACAAAACUGUGCUGUCUGCUUGGCCUAACUUGAGCUUUGAUCUCUAUGAGCCUAUAGCCAGCUUACAUGGGUAACCUGCAGCUAUCCAGAUUCUACUUUUUUCUAUAAUAUAGAAAAUUCUUCAUGUGUUAGACUUUUUGAAGUGAUAAGUUUUUCUUUGAAUAUUUUUUAUUUGGUUUAUUGGUUGUGAAGGUAGUUUUUUUUUUCUUUCUGGUUUUCUGCCAUGUUCCACUAAAAAACAUGUGCCUAUCUGUGCACAUAUAAUCUUCUUUUUUGUUCUUAAUGAAUAGGCAGCAUUCAUGUCGGUUGCUUGAUUUUUUUUUGUCGAUGGCCUAUUUUUUAUUUACGUUAUUAGUCUUCUAGGCCUGAAGCUAUGCGGAGUGUAUUAUAGAAUAAGCAUAAGCUGGGUAGAAGUCCCAACUACCAAGCAUGUCAUUAAUCAUAGACAUUGUGUUCUUUCUUGGAGCAAUUGAAAUCUACUAUCUACCAUGGUUAUGACUAAACCAUCCAUUGGCAUUGCUGCUAGAACUUCCAGCCGAGCUAAAAUAUGGAGUUUUGGGGCAUCAGAUUUUGAUAUGGAACUUGGAUCUAUCAGUUUCUGCUAAUUGUGAGUACUCUAAAGCUCAUUUAAAAUGCUGGAAACUUUUAUUUUCUUCUUUGUGCCUGCCUUUUCACCUAUUCAUUUUGACACCAGAAAUAUGAGUCCUUAUCUUGCUGUCCCUCUUGGGAUCUUCUGAUCAGAGAAGGUUUAAGUUUUUUCAAAUCAAAUCAACCUGGUUUCCAUAUCAUGAAUGAUGUAUACUCUGUUUCAUCUUUCUAGCUUGUAUACUCAACCGUUGCGCAAAUUUUCCAUGACAAUCUGUAACACAAUUUAUCCUAUGUUCUGUGGAAAAUUGGUGGCAACAAAUUUACUGAAGUACUAAUGUUAUGCUGGUGGCUUCUUUUAGUAGCCAACUUUUACUUAUCGGGCCACCCUGUUGCUUUCUAAUCUUACGAAAAAGGAGAUUGAGAUCGACUACUUUUAUAUCAUAAUAAUAUUGGAAAGCAUCCAUUCCUUGUCUUGCUAAAUACAUUUCAAUAUUUUAACAUAAAUCUGUAGAAUUUUAAUCAGCGCAGUUUAUUGGGGGGUGUAAGGGUGGAUGUGGACGUAAGGGAAUUCGUGCAAGUUUGUCGUAUCAUAAUUAAUUAAUUAAAUUCUUACCACAUUGUUACUUUGGCCUGACGUAAGAAUCGUACAAAAUCAGGUGUUUUUCUUCUGGGUGAGGUACUGUGAUCAAUUAUAUGAAUGUGCCAAUUUUGCCAGCCUUUUCCGCAGCAGUAGAUUCACAGCUUUUGGUGUGUUUGGUGGCAAUUAUCAGGGUCACUAACUCCUAUGGUGCUAGGACGGGGCCAAAAGUACUGAAAGAUCAUACUGUUAGUUUUACGGCUACUGCUUCUUGUUGGCAUACUGCUGUUCAAAGCUGCUAUGUUGUGGAAGUUUUUUAUAUGUUCAGUAAUUUGGUGGCUGCUGAUUUCUCUGUGGUCCAUCUCUGGCUCUCUACUGCAUUUUCUUAGUUAUCUUCUAGUUGGCUAGAGGUUUUCCUGCAUCCUUUGUAAAUACAUUGCAUAAAGAGUUCCGUGUUAUUAUUGUUUUAUGCUUUCUAUGCUGCCGGAGGAUAUAUUCAUUGGUCAUACAGUUCUUGCUGAGUUGUUUGUGGGUCUUCUUUAUAAAUGUGUCAGGACUUGUUAGUGCUUGGUUGUGUGUGCGAUAUAUACCGCAAGAUGAGAAUCUGAGAUUUGGGGAGUGGAUGUACAAACCCACCACCCAGGUUCUAUUUAUGGUUUCUAUUAUUAUUUAUACUUUCGGGGCUUUCCUUACAUUUCUGUUUCAGAAAAGAAGAAAAGAGCACCUAAGACUUCAAUGCAUGCUAUAUUAAAAUCACCAUUUCAACUGCUUCCAAGAUUCUGUUCGAUGUGAUAUGCUAAAUUUUUGGUGAUUGUGCCUGCUGUUGAUACAUGAACCAAUUACCCAAGUGGCUGAGAACCGAGAUGAGGAUAUGGUGAUAUGCUGGCUGUCACCGCUGACGGAGACAGGUACAGCCAGAUGAAUCGAGGAUCAUGUUUGAGAUCACUGAUUACAAUGGUAAGCCAUUGCAAGUGGGGGUAGAGCAUGGAGGUCCAGGAAGAGGGUAGAAGUCUUCUCUGGUGAUGGGGUUGAAGCGGCCGGGCUUAUUAGUAAGGUGCAUCUGAUACUUUUUUUUUCUCAGGUUUGCAUUAACUUGAUUCAAAAGAUGAUGCUUCUCGUAUAAUGUUCCCAUUUUGUCACUUUAUCCACGGGAAAGCAUGCUACCCAAGAACCAAAGCUUGCCGAGAGAAAAAUUUCAAUAUGGAGGAGGGCCGGGUCCCGUGGGGUCUGGUAAAUAAGUUGGCGUGGCUUGCAGUCCGUUUGCGGCUAGACAUGCGGACGUCACAGUAGAUUUGCGACAUGAAGACUGCAUCUGUUUGAUCUGAAUCAAGUCCCGAGUUCAGCUCGUGGCCCUGGGAAAUGCUUGUUGUUUCUUACCUGACAGAAAAUGGACCAAUGCACGCUGUUGGUGGACCAUGGCGAUGGUCCUGAGAUUUGGAGGUUUAAGCCGCGUAAUUGCGAUGGCCCGGCUGCAUUCCGGUGAUCAAUUGCAACCUAACAAAAU